rnacentral:tRNA from 1 species
AGAAUAUUUUUGAAACAAGGAAACUUCUAAUUUCCUAUAAAGCGGUUAAACUCCGUUUAUAUUCUA